rnacentral:rRNA from 1 species
GACGAACGCUGGCGGCGUGCUUAACACAUGCAAGUCGAACGGAAAGGCCCUGCUUUUGUGGGUUGCUCGAGUGGCGAACGGGUGAGUAACACGUGAGUAACCUGCCCUUGACUUUGGGAUAACUUCAGGAAACGGGGGCUAAUACCGGAUAGGAGCUCCUGCUGCAUGGUGGGGGUUGGAAAUUUUCGGCGGUUGGGGAUGGACUCGCGGCUUUUCAGCUUGUUGGGGGGGUAGUGGCUUACCAAGGCUUUGACGGGUAGCCGGCCUGAGAGGGUGACCGGCCACAUUGGGACUGAGAUACGGCCCAGACUCCUACGGGAGGCAGCAGUGGGGAAUAUUGCACAAUGGGCGGAAGCCUGAUGCAGCAACGCCGCGUGCGGGAUGACGGCCUUCGGGUUGUAAACCGCUUUCGCCUGUGACGAAGCGUGAGUGACGGUAAUGGGUAAAGAAGCACCGGCUAACUACGUG